GACCUCAGAGCAGGUGAGAUUACCCGCCGAAUUUAAGCAUAUCAAUAAGCGGAGGAA
rnacentral:rRNA from 1 species